AGUGAACGCUGGCGGCGUGCUUAACACAUGCAAGUCGAACGAGAACGGAUUAUAGCUUGCUAUAAUUGUCAGCUAAGUGGCGCACGGGUGAGUAAUGUAUAGGUAAUAUGCCUCUUACUAAGGGAUAACAAAUGGAAACGUUUGCUAAUACCUUAUACUCCUUAUUAAAAGAAGUUAAUAAGGGAAAGAUUUAUUGGGAAGAGAUUAGCCUGUAUUGUAUCAGUUAGUUGGUGGGGUAAUGGCUUACCAAGAGUAUGACACAUAACUGGUUUGAGAGGAGGAUCAGUCACACUGGAACUGAGACACGGUCCAGACUCCUACGGGAGGCAGCAGUGGGGAAUAUUGCACAAUGGACGAAAGUCUGAUGCAGCAACGCCGCGUGGAGGAUGACACAUUUCGGUGUGUAAACUCCUUUUAUAUGAGAAGAUAAUGACGGUAUUAUAUGAAUAAGCACCGGCUAACUCCGUGCCAGCCGCCGCAGUAA
rnacentral:rRNA from 1 species